rnacentral:rRNA from 1 species
UUCGGUUAAGUCCGCUAACCGAGCGCAACCCUCGCUGUGUGUUACAAGUGUCACACGGAACUGCCGGUCAUAAACCGGAGGAAGGUGGGGAUGACGUCAAGUCAGCAUGGCCUUUAUAUCCUGGGCUACACACACGCUACAAUGGGAAGGGACAAUAGGUUGCGAAGCCGCGAGGCGGAGCCAAUCCAGCAAAACUUCCCUCAGUUCAGAUUGCAGGCUGCAACUCGCCUGCAUGAAGUUGGAGUUGCUAGUAAACGCAGGUCAGCAUACUGCGGUGAAUACGUUCCCGGGCCUU